CACCCAAAUUGUAAUCAUUGGUCUUUCGGUAAACUUGCUCAGUUAUCUUCAGGCAAGUGAAGUCAGAAAAAGUCAUGGCGGUGAAUACUGUUCUGUGGGUGUUGCUUGUUGGAAUACAUUGUACGUUGGCCUACCCGACUACCCUGGGACCACCGACCACCCACCCGACUACCCUUGGGCCACCGACCACACUUGGAUGUUCAGAGAAUGACGGCCGCGUGAAAAACUGCAUGUCUUACUUUUGCUACGAAGGACAGUUGCUGCCAUUUGAGUUCACUGCAACGCAGUCGUGUUGUGACAAGAUGCAUCAAGAUGGAGGUGAUAUGCAUCCAAGAUGCAUUAUGAUAUACCCAGAACGCUACGGAACCACACCACCAUCCCUCAUAGGAAAAUGAUUGAACACAAAGUUUCAUCAAUGCAAAAUAAGGAGCAUUUCCCCAACAUGAUGAUUUUAUAAUAAUAAUCAUCGAUGUUUAUACCCACAUAGUGGUGUGAAUGGUCCAAGUGUAAUAACGCGCUGUAUAGGUAAUAAAACAGGUAGAAUAAU